rnacentral:rRNA from 1 species
CCUACGGGAGGCAGCAGUGAGGAAUUUUGGACAAUGGGGGAAACCCUGAUCCAGCCAUGCCGCGUGAGUGAUGAAGGCCUUCGGGUUGUAAAGCUCUUUCAGAUGUGAAGCGGUAGCAUCAGAAGAAGCUCCGGCUAACUCCGUGCCAGCAGCCGCGGUAAUACGGAGGGAGCGAGCGUUGUUCGGAAUUACUGGGCGUAAAGCGUAUGUAGGCGGUUUUUUAAGACAGAUGUGAAAUCCCAGAGCUUAACUUUGGAACUGCAUUUGUGACUGGAAGACUCGAGUAUUGGAGAGGUUGGCGGAAUUCCUAGUGUAGCAGUGAAAUGCGCAGAUAUUAGGAGGAACACCGAUGGCGUAAGCAGCCAACUGGCAUUACUGACGCUGAGAUACGAAAGUAUGGGGAGCAAACAGGAUUAGAUACCCUUGUAGUC